GACGAACGCUGGCGGCGUGCUUAACACAUGCAAGUCGAACGCUGAAGCUCAGCUUUUGUUGGGUGGAUGAGUGGCGAACGGGUGAGUAACACGUGAGUAACCUGCCUCCUUCUUUGGGAUAACGCCCGGAAACGGGUGCUAAUACUGGAUAUUCACUGGUCUUCGCCUGGGGGGUGGUGGAAAGGGUUUUUCUGGUGGGGGAUGGGCUCGCGGCCUAUCAGCUUGUUGGUGGGGUGAUGGCCUACCAAGGCUUUGACGGGUAGCCGGCCUGAGAGGGUGACCGGUCACAUUGGGACUGAGAUACGGCCCAGACUCCGACGGGAGGCAGCAGUGGGGAAUAUUGCGCAAUGGGCGCAAGCCUGAUGCAGCGACGCCGCGUGAGGGAUGGAGGCCUUCGGGUUGUGAACCUCUUUCGCUCAUGGUCAAGCCGCAACAAUGGUUGUGGUGAGGGUAGUGGGUAAAGAAGCGCCGGCUAACUACGUG
rnacentral:rRNA from 1 species